AGUAGGCAGAGCCCAACGAACGCAUACAACACCUCGACGCAGUUCCUCCGCUGACGGCGACGGAGGCUGCUAACGAAAACAAUCUUCUGAAACCUCUCGUCACCACGCCGCUUCACUUUUUCCAAUCCAGUCCAACUAAUAUUAUAGUUUCAUUUCAUGGAGACGCAACCACAUGAGAUUUUACAUCAGCCACCGGUUUCUUCAAAUGAAGUCCACAAUGAUGACGCGUCGAACCACAGUAGAGAGGCUGAGCAAAAACAAGAUGUUUCGAGGGAAGAAGUUUUGCAGACUUUGCAAGUUAUUGCAUCUACCGGGAAGUUCUGGUAUGAGUUAUUGGAGUACCGACUUAUUUUCUCAGGCUUUUGUUCAAAAGAUAUGAUAGAUAGUGGCGGUGUUUUUUUUUUUUCCCUUGAGUUAGUUAUUCACAUUAUAGAGUUAAUCCUACUUUCUUGGGACUUGGUAGGGCAUUGUUUGGGCACACGUCAGGAAGCUCGUGUCAGUAUAUAAUUAUGUUGAGUUUGGAAAUAAUGCAGAAGCUACAAACUGUAGGUUCUGUUCAGAUGCGUGUGAUAUGAUGUAGCACUACCGAACAUCUUACUAGAUAAUAUACAGGAUAUAAUAUGUCUUUGGUUGUGAUUUUAGUCAAAGACAAGGGUUUGUACUUGGUACUUGGAGUUUUAACU